rnacentral:rRNA from 2 species
UUCGGCUUAACCGGAGAAGUGCAUCGGAAACUGGAUAACUUGAGUGCAGAAGAGGGUAGUGGAACUCCAUGUGUAGCGGUGGAAUGCGUAGAUAUAUGGAAGAACACCAGUGGCGAAGGCGGCUACCUGGUCUGCAACUGACGCUGAGACUCGAAAGCAUGGGUAGCGAACAGGAUUAGAUACCCUGGUAGUCCAUGCCGUAAACGAUGAGUGCUAGGUGUUGGAGGGUUUCCGCCCUUCAGUGCCGGAGCUAACGCAUUAAGCACUCCGCCUGGGGAGUACGACCGCAAGGUUGAAACUCAAAGGAAUUGACGGGGGCCCGCACAAGCGGUGGAGCAUGUGGUUUAAUUCGAAGCUACGCGAAGAACCUUACCAGGUCUUGACAUCUUGCGCCAACCCUAGAGAUAGGGCGUUUCCUUCGGGAACGCAAUGACAGGUGGUGCAUGGUCGUCGUCAGCUCGUGUCGUGAGAUGUUGGGUUAAGUCCCGCAACGAGCGCAACCCUUGUUACUAGUUGCCAGCAUUAAGUUGGGCACUCUAGUGAGACUGCCGGUGACAAACCGGAGGAAGGUGGGGACGACGUCAGAUCAUCAUGCCCCUUAUGACCUGGGCUACACACGUGCUACAAUGGACGGUACAACGAGUCGCGAACUCGCGAGGGCAAGCAAAUCUCUUAAAACCGUUCUCAGUUCGGACUGCAGGCUGCAACUCGCCUGCACGAAGUCGGAAUCGCUAGUAAUCGCGGAUCAGCAUGCCGCGGUGAAUACGUUCCCGGGCCUUGUACACACCGCCCGUCACACCAUGAGAGUUUGUAACACCCAAAGUCGGUGGGGUAACCUUUUAGGAGCCAGCCGCCUAAGGUGGGACAGAUGAUUAGGGUGAAGUCG